rnacentral:rRNA from 1 species
UACGGGAGGCAGCAGUGGGGAAUAUUGGACAAUGGGCGAAAGCCUGAUCCAGCAAUGCCGCGUGAGUGAUGAAGGCCUUAGGGUUGUAAAGCUCUUUUACCCGGGAUGAUAAUGACAGUACCGGGAGAAUAAGCUCCGGCUAACUCCGUGCCAGCAGCCGCGGUAAU